rfam:Corchorus capsularis cultivar CVL-1 contig14458, whole genome shotgun sequence.
CUAAUGGCUUUUUUUAAGGCCAUAAACAAAUUCCAUGAAACAAUA